rnacentral:lncRNA from 1 species
AGACUCAAACGGCGCAACUACUGUUCAAUCGUCUCUCUCGCCCAAACCAAGCCCCAAUUCAGUCCAGUUUCAGGCGACCAUGCGUCUCCCCCUUCUCUCCUCCUGCCAUUUUGUAAUGGUUUCUGACACCAAAGAUCCCCCCUCCCCUCACUCACCCGAUUUUGAACCAUAUCACGCAAUUGGAAGGUUCUGGAGGACGAUCGUUGGAUGAGUAUGAGGAGUUGGAUUGAUUUCAUUCAAUCCGAGCCCAACAUUCAUCAGGUGCUCAUUUUCAAAAAGGACCAAAUUCGAUUUUGUAAAGGGGGAUGAUUCAGAGGGAAUUUUUGGAGAGAAGAGAGGUCACUUGGAAAUUAGGAUUCUAAUUAAGCUUCUUUUCUCUUUUAUUCAUCUGAAACUAUCUUGGUUUAAUUCCAUUUACAAUAGAAAAAAACAUUUCAUUUUCGUUUUUAAUCUUAGCCCCUUUUGUUCUUUUCAUCUUCAAGUUCAGAAAUUUUCACUUUCAUGAUGAGUUUGGAUUGAACUCGAAGGUUGAGUUUGUUUUCUGGAUUUCAUUUUGAGUUAAUGGAAGUCGACUGAGUGCUGUUUGUUUCGAGCUGCUCCAACGUUGUUCGUUUAGCUGCUGGUUCGUGAGUUCAUUGCAAUCUUUGUUUGGACUCGCUUCCUCUGAGAAUCGUUGUAAUCAUUAAAUAGCAUUAAUCGAAAGUUCAUUUUCAGGUUCAUUUCUAGACUCUCCUAUUUUUUUUUCUAUUUUGUGUGAUCUGAAAUGUCUUGUUUGUUUUAAUAGAUUCCUGGAUACCUAAGAAGUAAAUUAACAUAAAUGAACAAUUUUAGGAUGCUUGGUUAAGCUUUGAGUUGGUUUUCUGAAUUUGAACAUGGUUGUUUGAGUGGUUCUGUUGUUUUUAUGGAAAUGUGAAUACAAAUGGAGACUGACUUGGAGUGUUGUUGACUGAGAAUCGUAUGAAGUUGAUUCAUGGGCUGUGACCUGAAGUUGUAUUAAGAAAUCUUGCAAGUUCAGUUCCUGUAACAUGUUUCUGUCCAGUUUGCUGCACUGCUGAGUAGCUUCAGCUACAAUUUCUGCUAGUUUGAGUUAUAGUUUUGUUGUAUCCAGUUAAUGUUGGAUUUGCUGUUUAUCUUUUGCUUCAAUGAAAGUUUAUGAAAAUAGCAACCAUUAGUUUCUUUGUUGUUGAUUAGCUGUGUUUGAGCUCUAGCUUUAAAGCCAGGAUCAUUGCUUGGUUUUCUUUGCCGCUGCCUCUCCUGCAGUAGUUGAGCUUGCUUUCUUUGGGUUCUGGCCCUUAUUUGAUUUUUUUAGAGUGCUGGUUUUUUGCGUCUGGGUAUAUUUUAAGACCUCAAGUGUUGAAUAUGAUGUAUUUAAUGAAAAACAGGAAUUAUAUCUUCUCCAAUUUCAAAUGUUAAGAGUUCACCUUGAAAUUAUCUUUUCAGAUUUCUUGUUAGUUGAGUAAGUUGAUAGUUUCUAUUUGAGAGAUUUACUGUGAAAAAUAUUCAGUUUUUGUAGCAUUUCCUUGAUUCUUCUUGUCUUGCAUCAGUAGGAUUAAUAAUUUGUGAACUUUAAAAUAUUUUCCUCUUUCCCCCCAGUUUUUGUAUACUUUUGAACCAUAUUUGCAUUAUUUGAGUCAAUUCCUUAGACCUAUUGAGAUAACCUAUGCAUCAAUUGUUGAUCUGAGUUUUCUGCGACGUCAAAGUGAGCAUGUUUAGCAUUUGUGGUUGCGAGGUUUUUGAGAAUUUGGUUAGUUCAAAUAAUGGGAAUCAAAGGCAGCACUGAUGUUGUAAAGGGUUAGUUCUGAUGUGCCUGAUUUGAAUUCAUCUGUAUGUAUGUUUUCGUGAGAUUAACGAGAGGCUACAUGGUGCUAAUUGGGUUUGCAAAUGAAUUUGAGAAGCUAACAGUUAUGAAGAUAGAGGGAAUAAAAUAAAAGAGAUGUUAUAUAGCAUGAUAGCUCAAGGGAAGAGAGAUCAGUCGGGUUUUAAGCUUUCAUCAUGCUUUGAUCCACUACUUUUCAUCUUUAUUUUAUUUUCGUGUUUGUUCUGUUGAAUCGUUAUUCGAUCUCCUUUAUUUUAUGUGAUUGACCGUUAACUUCUUGGGCAAUAAUUUACAUGAGUUAAUUUUGAGUGUUUGUCAGGGAAUGGAAAAGGUCGAGGUCCAUUAGCGACUAUUUUGUUUCAUGCUUUAGGAGUAAGCUCAGUCUAAAUACGUGAAACGAGAGAUUUAAAAAUGGAGCAUGAAAUGAGAUCUUAUUUAUUUAGUUAUUUUAAUUUUGUUUACUACUCAUGAACUUCAUAGUUUGCUUUGGGCCCGUAAUUAAAAUAUCACGACUACGGGUACGGUUCCCGUGAUAUAGUUGUGAUGAUUAAUUUCAAAUUAGCUCUAAAUAUGAAUAUCCUAGUGCAUUUAGUUGAAUAGCUUUCAGGCGUGCCAUUCCUACAUUUGAAUCAUAUAAUCUAUGGCCCUCAUAUUUUAUAACUUAGUUACUAAAAAUGAAACUUGUAGUUUGCUUUAGGCGCGCAAAUGAAUUAUUACAAUUACGGGUACGGUUCCCAUAACGUGAUUGUGAUAAUCCUUUCUUUUAAAAUAAUUUGAGGUACGUCAUACACAAAUAAAAUCCAUAACGUAUGACCCUCACAUAAAUACAAAAUUAGUAUAGAAAUGCCAUGAACUUUCGUUGUUUGCUUUAGGCACAAUAAUUAAAUAAUUGUCAUAGCUACGGAUACGGUUCCCGUGACGUGGUCGUGUCACUUAAUUUCUAAAAAACCGGGGGUACAUUUAUGUUACCCAGCCACAAUUUAAUCAUGUUAUUAAAAUAAAUAUGUUGUAGAUCGUGAGUAUGGUUUCCAUGACAUGAUUCGCAAUGUGUAGUCAAGGUAAUUAGUUGUAUGAUAAUUAGAUUAUUAAAAGCGGUUUUUAAAGGGAUAAAAUGCACAUAGAUUUUAAAGAUGUUUUAAAAUCAAAUAAAUAGACCAAUAAUAACUGUUUAGCGACCGUGAUAAAACCACGAAACCCGGGAAUGCCUAACACCUUAUCCCGGGUUAACAGAAUUCCUUACCCAAAUUUUUGUGUUCGCGGACUGUAAAACAGAGUCAAUUUUUCCUUGAUUCGGGAUUGAAACCGGUGACUUGGGACACCAUAAAUUAUCCCAAGUGGAGACUUUGAAUUUUAAAUAAAUAAUUCUGUUUCGAUUGUCAGUUAAAUUGGAAAAAACUCCCUUAAUACUCAUUUCCGGGGGUAGUAAAAAGGAGGUAUGACAGCUCUGGCGACUCCGCUAGGGAUCGAACCCAUAAUCUCUGGUUUAGGGUUCAAGAAUUCGAGCUUGGAAUAAUUGUUAUAUUUUGCUUUAUUUAUUGUCUGAUUUUAUCUACAUGUUUGGGCCUAACAUGCUAAAUGUUGCUCUUUACCGCUUUGAUAGUAUCUGAACUGUAUAUAAACUGCUAGGAAACCCCUCUCUUCUAGUGCCCGCUGGCGUGGCUUCUUUCCGUUAGUGUCAUAUCCCAAAUUAGAACGAGGUUCGAACAAGUAGCAAAGCCGGAUGAUCUUUUGGUUAUCGGUAUGCUGCCCCCCCCUCUGGCUCGCGUUGUCCACUCGAGUAAGCCAGGUCUAGAAUAAUACACCCAGGUUUAAACCUAGAAAAAUUUAGCCUCAUGCCGGAUCCCUAGUAGGAACUCUUGUUUGCAUCAUGUGCAUUUAACUUUGGGGACUCAACACAGGAGUUGGGUCUGUCUAGGACAGCAUACUCGGAAAUAAAAGACCGACCUGAUGCAUUUUAUGUGCUACCUGUGCAUUUAAUUUGUUUCGGGUUGCAUGUUGACUGACUUCUAGAUUGAGUGAGGAAAAUGAAAAGAAAAACUCAGUUGAGGUAUGAGAGAGGAUUUCACCCGUUUCCCAAAAAAUGGUGCCUAAAAUGUCCCAAAACGCUGCCGAAUUUUUGAAAAAAGAAAAGAAAAAAAGAUUCCUUGAAAAAAAAUAAAGAAAAAAAAGUUUCUUGAAAAGAGAAGAGUUAGUCCAAAAUGGUUUUUGUUUUUUUUCCUUUCACGUCAAAACUGAGCGAACUACGCGGGUUUGAUUCUUACCAGACGUGAGAUACGUAGGCAACCCUCAUCGGGUCCAGCCCCUCUUUUGAAAAUUUUGAAAAUAAAUAUAUGAAGUGUCGUCAUUUUGUCAUAAAUACAGUAGGUGAUGCCAUUUUAUCUAAAUAGCCGAAUGUCCCAGCAGGACGCUGGAAGGCUACUUUGCAAAAAUAGCCACCGAUGGUUUAUUUGUUAAUUUUGGCCAUUAGCGAACGCAACCUUAAGAACUUCCAUUCCGAAGUAAUGAAAGGCCGUAUUCACAAAAGCAGCCCUGAUUUAUUUUUGCAAAACUAAGCCUUUUGUCAGUUUUCAAAUAAGAUUCACUUUGUCUUUAAAUCAACCACCUUAAUCUAAAUGUGCAGAAUGAGCACGAGUCAAAAUUUACCAAUGAAGGUCAUGUCCAAGAUUCUGUUGGAUCUACUCAUGUGGUGGGAAGAUUUGGGUAAAGAAGGACACGAUGUGGUUAACCUUUAUUUGGGAGGGCUCACCGGAUUGAUGAAGAUCUAGCCUAGAGGAGACAUAAUAAGGGCACUUGUAACAUUUUGGGACCCGACUCACAACGUCCUACAUUUAUCAGAUUUUGAACUCACGCCCACUUUGGAAGAAAUAGCGGGUUAUAUGGGAAGUACUGAAGGUCUAAGGCAUAAGUACCUGGUCGCUCUGAGAACCAUUACCCCUCACAAGUUCCUGGAUUUGCUAAAAAUAAGUAGGGGGUCCAGUACGCAGAUUUGGCGGUCGGUUUUUCCACUCUGCGCUUCAUAUACCAGAGGUACGGGCAUGUAGAAGGAUUUGACAACACGGAAAGUGGAGUUUGUAGCAAAGGGAACAGAGCAAAAUGGUAUGAGCAUAGGCGUUUCGCUUUCAUGGUAGCUUUCUUAGGACUCAUGGUGUUUCCCCGGAAGGAUGGGAAUAUCGAUCUACGGGUAGCUGGAGUCGUCAAUGUCUUGAUUACCAAUGCCAAGAGAACCCUCGCCCCUAUGAUAGUGUCUGAGAUAUACCGAGCUCUCACAACUUGUAAAGCUGGGGCAGACUUUUUUGAGGGAUGCAAUUUGCAAUUACAAAUGUGGAUGAUCGAGCAUCUGCAUCACCUCCCUCAGUAUAUGAGUUAUGGAUCCACAGAAAAAAAACUGCAUUGAGUUCGACGCAAGGAUCUCAGGGUUCAAGUUGCUAGAAGGGUUUGGAGAUUGGGUAUCCCGCCUUCGCUCCAUCACUGCGGGGCAAAUCGAGUGGACACUGGGUUGGCUUCCAGUUGAAGAGAUUGUGUAUAUGUCUGCCAUCGGUCCUUACCUCCUUCUAAUGGGUCUUCGAGGCAUUCAGCCUUACGUUCCAUACUGGGUGAUGAGAUAGUUGGAAAGAUGCCAGGUGACGCACCCAGAUGAAGAUCUUAGUAUUUAUGAGGUCGAAGUCAGCUUCAACGGCCAAUUUCAAGAAGAAACAGUUCGUCAUAUUUGGAACAAGUGCCAGUAUUUGACAACAAACACUCGAGUGUGUGACCUAUCUAGAGGCGAGGUCUCACCCGCCUAUGUUGCCUGGUAUAGAAAGAAGAACAACGCAAGUGCCGAACCUGAAAAACCAACCAAAAAGCCUCACAUUCAGGAAUUUGUUGAAGCGUCGCAAGAACAGUGGGCUUGGUUGGCCAAGGAGAAUGAUUACACGGCCCCAAUAGGCAAACUGGAAAAACAAGUUAGAGAUCUUCAAUUUGAGAAUGGUUUGCAAGUUGAUGCAGAUGAGGGUGAAAAGAAAAAGCUAGCCAAAGAAAAUGACGCCCUCGGAGCCCAAAUUCAAGAAAUGAAAAUAGCAGCCGAAAACUCUGCUAGAAGUGUAAAAGAUGAAAAGCUUAUAGGUAACCUUAGGCAGAAAGUGGGUAAAUAUGGUUUUGAUCUGAACAAGGCCAAAGGCGAAUAGGCAAGAGCUCGAACAAAAUUGGUUAAAAAUGCGGAGGAACGAGCACGUUUUGUCAAACAGUUAAAAGAGAAAUAUGAAAAUGGAGUUGUGGGGUUGAAGAAAAAGAUCACCGUCCUUGAGAACGAAAUGACUAAGCAGGCAAGGGAUUUCGAAGCAGAAAGAGAACACUGGUAUGCACUGAUGUCACAGUUAGAAAAAGACCUGCAGAAGCUUCAAGAGCAAAAUCAUACAGCUGAACAAGUUUUGGGGGCCAGGUCUCAGCAGAUUGGACGGUUGCUACAAGAAAAAGGUAUCAUCAGGGAGAGGGUUAGAGCAAUUGUUGACUACAUCGUCAUGAAGUGCCAUGAAUGUGAAUACAUGACUAGAACCACCUUAUUUGCUGCGGUAAUGACCUUUGUUCGCCAAAUAAUGAGUGACCUGGAGCGUCUUCAAGGGGAUCUUGUGCAUAGGCAUGUGGCAAGACCGACUGACGUCCCACGAGCCCCUGGAGCAAUUGAGGCACUUAUGUAUUCAUGAUUUUCAUUCGAGUCUAUAUUUUCACCUUUCUUCCAGAGUCUGUUAGUCUUUAUCGAGUCUGUAUUUUCAUUUUUCUUUGGAGUCUAUUAGUUCCCUUUUUCGAGUCUGUUAGUCUUUAUGUUUAAAUCUGUAGAAGAAGUUGUUAUAAUCGAGAUAUUUUGUUUUUUUUUUAUUUUAUGAAAAUUUGAAAACCACAAAAAAUGUUUUAUUUAUUUAUUUUUAUCUUAUACUUAUUCUUAGAACUAUGCUUGGUCUGAUUCAUGCGGCAUCAUGAUACGUAGGCAAUCCCUAUAGGAUUCGAUCAUAACCGUGAGAUGAAAAAGAAAAAGAAAAAAAGAGAGAGGAAAACAAGAAAGGCUGUGGGAAAGAAAUAAUGGUAAAACAAGAGAGGAGAAUAAGAGAAUAAAAGCGAGAAUCAAGCAAAGGAAAGCAUGAAUGAAAAAAGGAGAGAAAAAAUUUUGGAAAUUAGUAAAAGCCAGGAUGACGCAAGUGGCCGUUCAAAUGCAUGCUAGAAAUGGUUAAUUGUUUAGGUGCAUUACAUCCCCAAUGUGCGGUUACCUAUCCGUUAAAAUCUAAUCGCUAACGAGUUUGUUGUUGUCAUCAAGUCCAGGCAGGUGGUUAGUUUGUUUGACAUUCUGGCAACCCACCCGUACAACACCAGGUCCAAAGACAAGUUGACCAUGGCUAACCAAGAACUGGAUGCAAGUGUUAUUGAUCCGUCAAGAGAGGGGGAAGACUCUGAUGUUAAUCUGAAAGAGGAGUUGUAUAAGCUGAAACACCGGAUGGCAGAGAUGUACCAGGCAUGGGUAAAAGGGCAUCCACCACCAUCCUACCCCGCCAACCCUGCUUUUGUCCCGCAGCUGGCUCAAUCCCAAGAACCUCCCACUGUUGAUUCAUCUCCAGGCUUUCCCAUUUACCACCACUGCCAAGGUACCACUUCUCAAACCCCACAAGCACCACCACCCAAACCAGUCCCAUACCCUCCUCCUCCAACCACCCCUAUUUUCGUGGCACCCCGACCCCCUACACUCCACUGAUCCUCCAGUGAGCCCUUAUUCCAGACCCAAGAUAACCAAUACUAUCCCUCGAAGCCUACUUUCAAGGCCCCAAAGCAUUACUCUUACACUUCUCGUUUCGACCUCCCAGUUGAGACUGAGAAACCACCUAAAACCUCAGAGCAGGAGGAGAUGUUCAGGAAGGUUAGAAGCCUAGAACAGUCAUUCAGAAACAUGCAGGGAUUGGGAGGCCAGGUGAGCAUAGCCUACAAAGAUUUGAUCUAUUUCUCGAUGUUCAGUUGCCGGUAGUAUUUAAGAUGCCGAAGUUUGAUUUGUAUGAUGGGUACGGAGACCCAGUGGCCCACUUAAGGGGAUUCUGCAGUAAAAUGAGAGGAACCGAUGGGAAAGAUGAGCUAUUGAUGGCAUACUUUAGCCAAUAUUUGAGUGGUUCGGCAUUAGAGUGGUACACUCAUCAGGACCACAACAGAUAGUAUACCUGGGAUGAUUUGGCCCAAGCAUUCUCUCGUCAUUUCUAGUACAACAUCGAGAUUGUUCCAGAUCAUUUGUCUUUGACUAAAUUGAGAAGAAGCCUAAUGAAAGUUUCAGAGAAUAUGGUUUUCGCUGGAGAGAACAAGCGGCAAAAGUUAACCCCCCGAUGGAGGAGAGCGAAAUGGUGGAGUACUUUCUGUAAGCUAUAGAGCCCACUUACUUUGGCCAUCUGAUAUCGGCCAUAGGAAAAUCAUUCAACGAGGUAGUGAAGAUGGGUGGCAUAGUGAAAGAAGGGCUUUAAUCAAGAAAAAUCAUGAGUUACUCGGCUAUCAAGGCAACUACCCAAGCCAUUCAAAACGGUAUUGGGGGAGUGAUUGGAAAGAAGAAGAAAGAAGAUAUGGCAACAAUUGAUUCAGGAUCAUGGUUUGGACCCAGGGGCCCGUCACACCAAUAUACCCAGCCUCGACCCCAUCACUGUACCUACACUCAAACCUCAUAUAAUCCACCGCAACACUACUUCCCAUCACCAGACCCUUAUAUUUCUAUCCACCACACCCAAACAUAUACUUAACCUCUUGCCUACGCACAAUGGCGUGCCCCAGCCCCACAAAACACCUACCCAGAUCCACAAAAUGCUUACACACCCCCACGAGCCUACCGAAACCCUGCCGGUCCAAGUUUCCGACCCAAUCCAGCAUUCAAAAAUGAGAGGUUGCAGCGAAAGAAAACCUUUAUCCCAUUGGGGAGUCUUAUACUAGUUUGUUCCAUGGAUUGAGGCAGUUGGAUAUGCUCAGGCCAAUUGAGUCGAUAUUGUCAAACCCUCCUCCAAAAAAUCUUGAUUACUCUGUGAGCUGUGAAUAUUGUUCUGGUAAUCCGGGACAUGAUAUGGAAAAGUGUUGGCACUUGAAAAAUUCCAUCCAGGAGCUCAUUGACACAAACCGGAUUGAAGUGCAAACUCCAGAGGCCCCCAACAUCAACCGGAACCUAUUACAAACCCAUCAGGAAACAAACAUGAUUGAGAUAGUACAUAAGGGAGGGGAACCUAAGAAGCUUCACAAGUUGAGGUCAAGCCAGUUAAAAAACCAACAGUUGAAAGAUCAGUGAACAAGUUGAGCAGGACAAACGGUGAACCAUCUGUGGUAGUAAAUAAAGGUUCCCCAAGUGAUGUUGCGGCAAAAUAGGAAAAGUCAAAAGUGGUUGUGCCAGGAGUGGAAAAUAAGCCUAUCAUAAUUGUAGAGGGUGACCAUACGGAUCCUGUUAUUACUAAGCUUGUAACCCAGUUGUUGGUAAUCAACAGCAAGGCUAUCCCAUGGAACUAUAUGACCUAUAAGGCAAAGAAAGUGAAAGAAGAAGUCAAUGAGGCCCAGGGAUUAACUCGUUUAGGGAGAUACUUUGCCCAGGAAGAGUUAAGGAAAGCUAAAACAUCCAGAGAUAAUCUAGUCCUAGUAAAGAAGGUAGUGACUGAAGAAGAGGCGGAGGAGUUUCUGAGAAAGAUGAAGGUACAAGAUUAUUCCAUCGUGGAGCAGUUGAGAAAGAUGUCUGCUCAGAUAUUUUUACUGUCAUUGUUGAUCCACUCAGACGAGCAUCGUCGGGCCCUGAUGAAAAUUCUGAACGAAGCUCAUGUCCCCGACAAAAUUUCAGUGGACCAUCUGGAAAAUAUCGCCAACAAAAUAUUCGAGGUGAACAGGGUCACCUUCUCUGAUGAUGAGUUACCGGUGGAAGGUACUGAACACAACAAAGUUCUAUACCUUACGGUAAAAUGUGAGGAUUCUGUGGUCACAGGGUGUUAGUUGACAAUGGUUCCAAUGCAAACAUUUGUCCUCUCUCUACUCUGAACAAGUUGAAAUUUGAUGAUGAGAGGAUUCACAAAAACAACAUCUACGUUUGAGGUUUUAAUGGUGGAGGGAAAGAUUAGUUGGUGAUAUAGUGCUUGAUUUGACAAUAGGAUCGGUGGAAUUCACCAUGAAGUUCCAGGUACUGGACAUGGCUGUCUCCUACAAUUUAUGUUAGGUCGACCUUGGAUUCAUGCCACCAAAACAGUCCCAUCCACUCUGCAUCAGAUGGUCAAGUUCGAAUGGGAUAGACAGGAGAUCAUCGUGCAUGGAAAGGAUAAUUUGUGUGCUCAGAGUGAUGCCUCUGUCCCGUUCAUUGAGGCUGAAGAUGACAAAGGGCCUUGGGUCUAUCAAGUUUUUGAAACAGUGCUGGUUGAGAAGGUUCCAGAGGGGAAAUGUGUUCUAACUCCAAAGAUAACCUCCGCAUCAGUCAUGGUGGCCUUUGAAAUGCUGAAAAAUAGAUUUGUGCUCGGUAAAGGUUUGGGUGCAUCUCUGCAGGGUAUCAUACAGCCAGUAUCGCUCCCUGAAAAUUUGGGUACGUUCGGUCUUGGAUUCAAACCUACAGCAGCAGAUGUGAAAAGGGCUAAAAGAUUGAAACAGAAGGCGUGGGCACUUCCAAAGCCCGUUCCGCGUCUUUUCAGGUCUUUUGUCAAGCCGGGUGCUAGGUAACGCCCAGUAACAACAGUCCCAAGUUUUGUGGUUGACAUUGAUGAGGAGUUAAUUGAAAGGUUCAAGAGGUUGUUUGAUGAUGUGAACAUGGUAGAAGGUGGAGAAGGUUCUAGCAAAGCGUACGUGCAGUUCGUCGGGCCGAAUGUAAAGCUUAACAAUUGGAAGGCUACUCAUCUCCCUACCCGGAUAGAGUCUUGGUAGUUUAUUUCUUUUUCUUUCUAUCUGGGUCAUUUCAGGGUUGUGACCUAGACUUUUAUUUUCUUCUUGUUGAUGUACAAACCUUAUUAUCCUUUAUUUUUAAUGAAAUGCAAUUUCCCUUUUCCGUCAUUCCUGAUAGUUCUUAUUUCUGUUUUCUUUUCUUAUUUGUACAGUUCUUUUUAUGCUGGUUUCAAUGACAUGACAUACAUGAGGAAUCUUUGGCCAAGUCUUAAAAGUCAG